GAAAAACACACUCUGAAAAAGUUUUCUGGCUACGCCAUUGACGACAAACUUCCAUUAUUCCACUUGCGUACGUCGUCUGCUGCAGGCGCCUCGAGACGUGUCAAUAUCCAAUAACCGGAAGUUUAAAUUCAAGUCCCAAUUUUUGAACGGUCGUUUUAUCGAUGCGAAAUCCAAUGCCAUGUAGUCGUCCAUAGAAACGCCCCCAGCAACGCUUUGUAGUAGUGACAAGAAAGUUAUGGGGUAAUUUUUUUUUUUUUUUACAAUUUCUCUAAUUUAAGGUGAUGACGUGCCAUGUGACCUGGCAACACUAGUCGGGCUAGCCGGCUAGCCGUUGCAGCUAGCCCAGCGCCAGCUGGCACAAUCCAAUGCAAUUUCAUUUGAAUGGCUGGAACCUCUGGAACGGCUUCGUGUGUUGUUGGUCGUAGUUGUAGAGCACCAGGUGCCUCGUUGCUUCUACGGUCGCUGCGCUCCUUUGUUUCGUCGUGUACGCGGUCGUCAUGCUCCGUGGUGUUGUAAUCGACGAUAGCCAGAUGAAGUUCUUGAAUCGUACGAGACUUCCACUCCGCAGUGACAUUGAUGUCUGUACUUUCAGUUUUGGUGGCGCGACCGCUCUCAGGCUUGCAGAUUUGUGUCGUGAGCUGAGGCUGGCGUCUCUGUGACUUUGCUGUCGUUUAUGUUGGCGGGAAUGACCUUUCCAACGGGUGAAGCCCUCUGGACGUCUGCAGGGACAUCAAGGUACUUGUCAAGCUUCUGCUCCAAGUUGCCACGACUGUCUUCACGUUCAAGGUACAGCCGCGGGCAGCCCAACUAUGGUUUCUCGUUGCCAAACCCUCAACAGGAUGCUGACCACUGCCUUAAAGAGGAUGCCGGAGGUCCGCAUCCUGAACGUGGAGGUUUGCCAGUUCCGACGUGGUCGGAGACCUGAGCCACGAGUUUCCGGCCGCGGCCAGAUCCCGCCGAAGAAGGCUUCGACGUACCAGGCCGGGACCCUUCCACAUUCACGCUUUCAACAUCUUUCGACGUUGAUGGAGCAGCAGGUGGGCCCUGCAGCUCCCUAACAAGGCGGGCCGCCUCCGAGGAAUUGGAACGACAACCUCGCUCUCUAUCUUGAGAAGAGCCACUGGCACAAGGCUGCCAGUCAGCCGGAGCUCGUGCCUGAAUCGACUGGGGAGUCUGUGUGCUCCCAGCGUUACCUGGGGCA
rnacentral:misc_RNA from 1 species